GAAUUCAUACCAAGGUUUGAGCAGGAGUUCAUGGCGUGGAGCACUGCCCAGGACAGCCCCAUCUUUGUGCCCUAUCUUGUUGCCUACAUCAACAACUUCCAUGACCUGGUGUCAGGGUUGGAAACA